UUGCACUGAUCCGAUCGAGUGGCGGACGGGUGAGUAACGCGUGGGUAACCUGCCUUGUACAGGGGGAUAACAGUUGGAAACGGCUGCUAAUACCGCAUAAGCGCACAGCAUCGCAUGAUGCAGUGUGAAAAACUCCGGUGGUAUAAGAUGGACCCGCGUUGGAUUAGCUAGCUGGCAGGGUAACGGCCUACCAAGGCAACGAUCAGUAGCCGGCCUGAGAGGGUGAACGGCCACAUUGGGACUGAGACACGGCCCAAACUCC
rnacentral:rRNA from 1 species